GCCUCCUCCGCCAUGCGGCCGCUGGAAUUCGAUCUUGGUCAUUUAGAGAAAGUAAAAGUCGUAACAAGGUUUCCGUAGGUGAACCUGCGGAAGGAUUAAUAUUGAAACUCACGGGGGCGCGUGCUAAGGCCUGCGCCGGUGGCGACGCCGUGCUGCGGUCUGGCUUGCGUCCUCUUCCAAACCCAAACACCGGUGAACCUUUGGGAUGGCGUGCUGUAACGGCCGUCGUCCCGUUUACACCAACUCUGAUGUCUAUUUGAAAGUGACUCGGGGCCUCCCCGAUUUAAACUUAAAACAACUUUCAACAACGGAUCUCUUGGCUCUCGCAUCGAUGAAGAACGCAGCGAAAUGCGAUAAGUAAUGUAAAUUGCAGAAUUCAGUGAAUCAUCGAAAUCUUUGAACGCACCUUGCGCUCCUUGGUAUUCCGAGGAGCAUGCCUGUUUGAGUGUCUUGAAAUCAUCAAACCCCUCUUGGUUUCUGCUGGAGCGGGUUUGGACUUGGGGGUUUUGCUGCCUCUGGUGGCUCCCCCUUAAAUGAAUCGGUCGGGCUUUCGUGUGGCUUGUCCCUUGGCGUUGUAUCAACCUCGUCGCUGGAUGGCUCGCGAGCUUAGCGCCCCUCCAAGACCAGCCUCUGGAGUGGCUGUUCAACUUCAAUUUGUGAUGUGACCUCAAAUCAGGUAGGACUACCCGCUGAACUUAAGCAUAUCAAUAAGCGGAGGAAAAGAAACUAACAAGGAGUCCCCUAGUAACUGCGAAGUGAAGCAGGGAAAGCUCAAAUUUGAAAUUUGGCGGCUCCGCCGUCCGAGUUGUAUUCUGGAGAAGUGUUUUCCAUGCUGGACCGUGUACGAGUCUUCUGA
rnacentral:rRNA from 1 species